rnacentral:rRNA from 1 species
CCUACGGGUGGCAGCAGUGGGGAAUAUUGGACAAUGGGCGCAAGCCUGAUCCAGCCAUGCCGCGUGAGUGAUGAAGGCCCUAGGGUUGUAAAGCUCUUUCGGCGGGGAAGAUAAUGACGGUACCCGCAGAAGAAGCCCCGGCUAACUUCGUGCCAGCAGCCGCGGUAAUACGAAGGGGGCUAGCGUUGUUCGGAAUUACUGGGCGUAAAGCGCACGUAGGCGGGUCGUUAAGUCGGGGGUGAAAUCCCAGGGCUCAACCCUGGAACUGCCUUCGAUACUGGCGACCUAGAGUGUGGGAGAGGUUGGUGGAAUGCCGAGUGUAGAGGUGAAAUUCGUAGAUAUUCGGCGGAACACCAGUGGCGAAGGCGGCCAACUGGCCCAUUACUGACGCUGAGGUGCGAAAGCGUGGGGAGCAAACAGGAUUAGAUACCCCGGUAGUC